UACGGAGGGUGCAAGUGUUAUCCGGAUUCACUGGGUUUAAAGGGUGCGUAGGAGGGCAGGGAAGUCCGUGGUGAAAUCUCCGAGCUUAACUCGGAAACUGCCGUGGAUACUCUCUGUCUUGAAUCCCGUGGAGAUGAGCGGAAUAUGUCAUGUAGCGGUGAAAUGCUUAGAUAUGACAUAGAACACCAAUUGCGAAGGCAGCUCGUUACACGAAGAUUGACUCUGAGGCACGAAAGCGUGGGGAUCAAACAGG
rnacentral:rRNA from 1 species